GCCUGGGAGGCUCAGUGGUUGAGCGUCUGCCUUUGGCUCAGGGGUCCCGGGAUAGAGUCCCGCAUCAGGCU
rnacentral:tRNA from 1 species